AGUGAACGCUGGCGGUAGGCCUAACACAUGCAAGUCGAACGGCAGCACAGUAAGAGCUUGCUCUUACGGGUGGCGAGUGGCGGACGGGUGAGGAAUACAUCGGAAUCUACUUUUUCGUGGGGGAUAACGUAGGGAAACUUACGCUAAUACCGCAUACGACCUACGGGUGAAAGCAGGGGAUCUUCGGACCUUGCGCGAUUGAAUGAGCCGAUGCCGGAUUAGCUAGUUGGCGGGGUAAAGGCCCACCAAGGCGACGAUCCGUAGCUGGUGUGAGAGGAUGGUCGCCCACACGGGAACGUGGCCACCGUCCAUGCUCCUGCGGGAGGCAGCAGUGUGGAAUAUUGGGCAAUAGGCGGAAGCCUUGUCCAACCAUACCGCGUGUGAGAAAGAGGCCUUCGGUGUGUAAAGCCCUUUUGUUGGGAAAGAAAAGCAGCAGGUUAAUACCCCGCUGUUCUGACGGUACCCAAAGAAUAAGCACCGGCUAACUUCGUG
rnacentral:rRNA from 1 species